rnacentral:lncRNA from 1 species
UGUUUUUUGUAGAGAUGGAGUCUCACUUUGUUGUCCAGGCUUGUCUUGAACUCCUGGGCUCAUGUGAUUCUUCUGCCUUGGCCUCCCACUCUGCUGGGACUAUAGGUGUGAGCCAUUCUGCCCAGCCAUAUUGUCAAAUAAUAUUUAAAUGAUAUUUAAAUAAGAUGACAAAACACUCCUGGUAUAAUGGAUUUAUGUAUAUGUAUGUCAAGAGUGAGAGAGACAUAAAGACUGUCUGAUAUUUACUAAAUUUUUAAAUUUAUAUUUACUAAAUUAUUAAUAGUAAUUUUACUGGUAGUGGUUUUAUAGUAAUUUUCCUUUUAAAAUCUAUUUUCUUUCUUUCAUAGUGAGAAAAUAAACUACUGAAGUUUCCUUUAAAAAAAUCUGUAUCUGGGGGCUUCCCACUUUGGUGUUAGAGCUCACUGGGCCCAGGGAUUCUUAUCCAGGGGCAGGGGAUCUAUGGGGUACCCAGGUGGGCUCAAUGGAUGGACACUGUGACCCUCCUGAAAUGACACCUGUGAUGUUUAGUGCAAGUGUCUUCAGGGGAGACUGUUCACAGCACUAUCAGAUUCUCAAAGCUGCUCCCUCUUCUCCAUUACAGGGAAGGGAGGCUGGGUGGUCUGUUCAGGGUAACACAGCAGGUGAAUAGCAGAGCUGGGAUGUGGCUCACUCCCACUCUGAGUGCUCAGCAGGGGCUGCUGGAAGCUGUUUAAAGGCAGCUCUUACUUGCUGAAACUCCCUGGAAUGUCUCUGACCAAAAAGCCAGGGAACUAAACACCUCUGGUCCCUAGCCAGAGCUUGGGAAUGCCAGACUGCCCCCAGGGGAGCUGCAGCCUCACAAGUGCCGGUGCAGGGCUGGGCAGCCCAGGGGUAGUUGGGGGAGGGAAGAGAGCACAGGGGCCAGACGAUGGACAUGCCAUGGCCGACGGGAUGCUCUGGGCUGCAACAUUUAUACAUGGGUGAUGGCAGAGAGCGAUGGGCUCAGUAGUGACAGAAUGAAAUUACAUGUUUUCUCCAAACUUAGGGCUGGCCAAGGACAACCCUCUUAAUCUCUCAGUCUCUACAGCCCACAUUCAUAACAGGAAGAUAAUAAACCUCACUUGCCUCACUGCAUUGACGUGGGGAUAAAAUGAUGUAAGCUAUCUUGUCAAACACUGAGCUGGAACUCGCUCUCCCUCUAGUUCUCCAGGGUAAAAAACAUGGUGAGCAUUUCAGAUCAUAAAUCUAUGUGCAUUUGGAAUAAUAAGUGGUUCUGGUCAGUAAGAGGCUUACAAAACAGCAGUACUUCAAUAAAGUCUACAGACUACGUUUAUUCACAUUAUACACAAUUUCCCCUCUCCCUGGUUUUAUUUUUUCACUUU